AUACUUACCUGGUAGGGGCGAUACCAUGAUCAUGAAGGUCAUUUUCCCAGGGUGAGGCAAAUCCAUUGCCCUCUGGAUAUACUGACCUCUGUGAUUUCCCCAAAUGUGGGAAAUGACAGUAUAAUUUGUGGUAAUGGGGGACAGUGUUCGUGCUUUCCCCUG
ensembl:snRNA U1 U1 spliceosomal RNA